GACGAACGCUGGCGGCGUGCUUAACACAUGCAAGUCGAACGGAAAGGCCCUGCUUUUGUGGGGUGCUCGAGUGGCGAACGGGUGAGUAACACGUGGGUAACCUGCCCUUGACUUUGGGAUAACUUCAGGAAACUGGGGCUAAUACCGGAUAGGAGCUCCUGCUGCAUGGUGGGGGUUGGAAAGUUUCGGCGGUUGGGGAUGGACUCGCGGCUUAUCAGCUUGUUGGUGGGGUAGUGGCUUACCAAGGCUUUGACGGGUAGCCGGCCUGAGAGGGUGACCGGCCACAUUGGGACUGAGAUACGGCCCAGACUCCUACGGGAGGCAGCAGUGGGGAAUAUUGCACAAUGGGCGGAAGCCUGAUGCAGCAACGCCGCGUGCGGGAUGACGGCCUUCGGGUGGUAAACCGCUUUCGCCUGUGACGAAGCGUGAGUGACGGUAAUGGGGAAAGAAGCACCGGCUAACUACGU
rnacentral:rRNA from 1 species